GUGGGGCAGGUGAGCAAGAAAGCGAAGGUUGAGGGCACGAGGACUGUUGUGGCAGAGGGAGAUGGGGUGCACGAUACUACAUGAGAGAGAAUGGGGAGAGAAAGAGUAGAAAGGAAGGGAGAAGGUGGAAACGGCCUGGGGCAAAAAUGAUAUUUCACCACUGUUGUGUACUUGUGUCUUCUCCUGAACUAGAAAUAAAUAUUUUAAUGAGCG
rnacentral:lncRNA from 1 species